rnacentral:snRNA from 2 species
AGUGCUUCUCAGCCUUUUGGCUAAGAUCAAAUGUAGUAUCUCUUCUUAUCAGUUUCAUAUGCAGAGCAGUGACACGAUAAAGCAACCACACAAACAAGCUGGCAUGAUAACCAACUAACAACAAAAUGGCAAGAUCAAAUUCACACAUA